AGUUAUUUGAGCUUUCGGGUGACGAUAACGGCGUCGAGCGGCGGACGGGUGAGUAAUGCCUGGGAAAUUGCCCUGAUGUGGGGGAUAACCAUUGGAAACGAUGGCUAAUACCGCAUAAUAGCCCUGUUUGUAAAAGAAUGGGGCUCAAAGAGGGGGACCUUAUGGCCUCUCGCGUCAGGAUAUGCCCAGGUGGGAUUAGCUAGUUGGUGAGGUAAGGGCUCACCAAGGCGACGAUCCCUAGCUGGUCUGAGAGGAUGAUCAGCCACACUGGAACUGAGACACGGUCCAGACUCCUACGGGAGGCAGCAGUGGGGAAUAUUGCACAAUGGGCGCAAGCCUGAUGCAGCCAUGCCGCGUGUAUGAAGAAGGCCUUCGGGUUGUAAAGUACUUUCAGCAGUGAGGAAGAUUUAUACGUUAAUAGCGUAUAGAUUUGACGUUAGCUGCAGAAGAAGCACCGGCUAACUCCGUGCCAGCAGCCGCGGUAAUACGGAGGGUGCGAGCGUUAAUCGGAAUUACUGGGCGUAAAGCGCAUGCAGGUGGAUGAUUAAGUCAGAUGUGAAAGCCCGGGGCUCAACCUCGGAAUAGCAUUUGAAACUGGUCAUCUAGAGUACUGUAGAGGGGGGUAGAAUUUC
rnacentral:rRNA from 1 species